rnacentral:rRNA from 1 species
GAUUAAGUUAUUAAGGGCGCACGGUGGAUGCCUUGGCACUAGAAGCCGAUGAAGGACGUUACUAACGACGAUAUGCUUUGGGGAGCUGUAAGUAAGCUUUGAUCCAGAGAUUUCCGAAUGGGGAAACCCAGCAUGAGUUAUGUCAUGUUAUCGAUAUGUGAAUACAUAGCAUAUCAGAAGGCACACCCGGAGAACUGAAACAUCUUAGUACCCGGAGGAAGAGAAAGAAAAUUCGAUUCCCUUAGUAGCGGCGAGCGAAACGGGAAGAGCCCAAACCAACAAGCUUGCUUGUUGGGGUUGUAGGACACUCUAUACGGAGUUACAAAGGACGACAUUAGACGAAUCAUCUGGAAAGAUGAAUCAAAGAAGGUAAUAAUCCUGUAGUCGAAAAUGUUGUCUCUCUUGAGUGGAUCCUGAGUACGACGGAGCACGUGAAAUUCCGUCGGAAUCUGGGAGGACCAUCUCCUAAGGCUAAAUACUCUCUAGUGACCGAUAGUGAACCAGUACCGUGAGGGAAAGGUGAAAAGCACCCCGGAAGGGGAGUGAAAUAGAACCUGAAACCGUGUGCUUACAAGUAGUCAGAGCCCGUUAAUGGGUGAUGGCGUGCCUUUUGUAGAAUGAACCGGCGAGUUACGAUUUGAUGCAAGGUUAAGCAGUAAAUGUGGAGCCGUAGCGAAAGCGAGUCUGAAUAGGGCGUUUAGUAUUUGGUCGUAGACCCGAAACCAGGUGAUCUACCCUUGGUCAGGUUGAAGUUCAGGUAACACUGAAUGGAGGACCGAACCGACUUACGUUGAAAAGUGAGCGGAUGAACUGAGGGUAGCGGAGAAAUUCCAAUCGAACCUGGAGAUAGCUGGUUCUCUCCGAAAUAGCUUUAGGGCUAGCCUCAAGUGAUGAUUAUUGGAGGUAGAGCACUGUUUGGACGAGGGGCCCCUCUCGGGUUACCGAAUUCAGACAAACUCCGAAUGCCAAUUAAUUUAACUUGGGAGUCAGAACAUGGGUGAUAAGGUCCGUGUUCGAAAGGGAAACAGCCCAGACCACCAGCUAAGGUCCCAAAAUAUAUGUUAAGUGGAAAAGGAUGUGGCGUUGCCCAGACAACUAGGAUGUUGGCUUAGAAGCAGCCAUCAUUUAAAGAGUGCGUAAUAGCUCACUAGUCGAGUGACACUGCGCCGAAAAUGUACCGGGGCUAAACAUAUUACCGAAGCUGUGGAUUGUCCUUUGGACAAUGGUAGGAGAGCGUUCUAAGGGCGUUGAAGCAUGAUCGUAAGGACAUGUGGAGCGCUUAGAAGUGAGAAUGCCGGUGUGAGUAGCGAAAGACGGGUGAGAAUCCCGUCCACCGAUUGACUAAGGUUUCCAGAGGAAGGCUCGUCCGCUCUGGGUUAGUCGGGUCCUAAGCUGAGGCCGACAGGCGUAGGCGAUGGAUAACAGGUUGAUAUUCCUGUACCACCUAUAAUCGUUUUAAUCGAUGGGGGGACGCAGUAGGAUAGGCGAAGCGUGCGAUUGGAUUGCACGUCUAAGCAGUAAGGCUGAGUAUUAGGCAAAUCCGGUACUCGUUAAGGCUGAGCUGUGAUGGGGAGAAGACAUUGUGUCUUCGAGUCGUUGAUUUCACACUGCCGAGAAAAGCCUCUAGAUAGAAAAUAGGUGCCCGUACCGCAAACCGACACAGGUAGUCAAGAUGAGAAUUCUAAGGUGAGCGAGCGAACUCUCGUUAAGGAACUCGGCAAAAUGACCCCGUAACUUCGGGAGAAGGGGUGCUCUUUAGGGUUAACGCCCAGAAGAGCCGCAGUGAAUAGGCCCAAGCGACUGUUUAUCAAAAACACAGGUCUCUGCUAAACCGUAAGGUGAUGUAUAGGGGCUGACGCCUGCCCGGUGCUGGAAGGUUAAGAGGAGUGGUUAGCUUCUGCGAAGCUACGAAUCGAAGCCCCAGUAAACGGCGGCCGUAACUAUAACGGUCCUAAGGUAGCGAAAUUCCUUGUCGGGUAAGUUCCGACCCGCACGAAAGGCGUAACGAUUUGGGCACUGUCUCAACGAGAGACUCGGUGAAAUCAUAGUACCUGUGAAGAUGCAGGUUACCCGCGACAGGACGGAAAGACCCCGUGGAGCUUUACUGUAGCCUGAUAUUGAAAUUCGGCACAGCUUGUACAGGAUAGGUAGGAGCCUUUGAAACGUGAGCGCUAGCUUACGUGGAGGCGCUGGUGGGAUACUACCCUAGCUGUGUUGGCUUUCUAACCCGCACCACUUAUCGUGGUGGGAGACAGUGUCAGGCGGGCAGUUUGACUGGGGCGGUCGCCUCCUAAAAGGUAACGGAGGCGCUCAAAGGUUCCCUCAGAAUGGUUGGAAAUCAUUCAUAGAGUGUAAAGGCAUAAGGGAGCUUGACUGCGAGACCUACAAGUCGAGCAGGGUCGAAAGACGGACUUAGUGAUCCGGUGGUUCCGCAUGGAAGGGCCAUCGCUCAACGGAUAAAAGCUACCCCGGGGAUAACAGGCUUAUCUCCCCCAAGAGUUCACAUCGACGGGGAGGUUUGGCACCUCGAUGUCGGCUCAUCGCAUCCUGGGGCUGUAGUCGGUCCCAAGGGUUGGGCUGUUCGCCCAUUAAAGCGGUACGCGAGCUGGGUUCAGAACGUCGUGAGACAGUUCGGUCCCUAUCCGUCGUGGGCGUAGGAAAUUUGAGAGGAGCUGUCCUUAGUACGAGAGGACCGGGAUGGACAUACCUCUGGUGUACCAGUUGUCGUGCCAACGGCAUAGCUGGGUAGCUAUGUGUGGACGGGAUAAGUGCUGAAAGCAUCUAAGCAUGAAGCCCCCCUCAAGAUGAGAUUUCCCAACUUCGGUUAUAAGAUCCC